rfam:Lactobacillus helveticus DPC 4571, complete genome.
AUGCCCUUUAAAGUUAGUCCCGUGAGGCUAAGAAGGAAAUCUGCAUUAACUAGGCUUUUUUGUGCUAGUAAUAACAGAAAGACCAUCUUUGACUCCGUGUUCAGGUGGUCUUUUUCCU